AGAUGGAAUAGGGCAAUGUGCAGUGAGAUGGCGGUUGCAUCGUCGGUGGACCUUUUGGGGCAGUAUGCAAACUGAAGUGGGUCAAGGGUUGCAGGUGACCCACAAGACUGUGCUGAGUCUAGAUGAGAAAUGGACUGAGGCGGCUGCUGUCACUAUGAUAGAGAUCAUGCCCAUGUCCCUCUCAGACACCAUCAUACUCAACAGGCCCUUCCUGCUCUUCAUCCUGGAGGACUACCAAGAGCAUCAUCUUCAUGGACAAGAUCACCAACCCCACAGCCGAGUGAAAGACGGAGAGGAAGAAAUAAUGAGAGGGAGGAACAUCUGAGGAGAUUGAAGGAAGGUCUUUGUCUCUCAUGCUAGUGGUAAAACAUAAAGGAUCGGUAUCUGAUUUUUCGGUUUUCUGUAGAGCAUUCAUGUGUUGGAUGCUUUGUCUAGGCAAGUCAGGGAGUUUUGAACCCAUACAUGUGUUUUUCUAUCUACUGCAUACCUAGAAACAUAGGGUUGUGUGUCUGUGUGUGUCUCUGUGUUUGCGGUUCUGUCAAAAUGUUACUGAUGUCCAUGCCAGUCUGGCGAUAGCAAUAUACAAUUUGAUGUGUCGUCAUUAUGUCUACGUGAGUUGUCUUCAGAUAAUCCAAUUGGACAAAGGGCUUUAUGCCUUUAUGGAAUGGAUGUUUUUUUUCUUAUGCAUCACCCAAAAGACACUGGUUAGAUAAUAAAAAGUUAAACAUGAACCCACAAUUUUGAAUAGUUUAUACUGGGCUGAUGUCUCAAGCAUAGGCUUAACUGCAUGCAAUUUUACUGAGGGCUCCUCUUAACUGAGAUCAUCUCAGCAUUAUUUGGCAAAGAUGACGUAGGUCUAAGAUAGCCCUUUUUUGCCGUUCUCGAGAAAAGUAUUAUAUACAGUGAAUCCCUGGGAUAUAUUUAAAGAUCAGCGUUCGACAUAUCUGUACAUGCGCUGUAUUAGAG
rnacentral:lncRNA from 1 species